rnacentral:lncRNA from 1 species
AUAAACCACUGCUUGAAAAUGACUACUUUUUGCAACUCCGUAUUCCAUGACGCGGCAGGAUCAAUUUCUCGAACAAAGCACAAUUGCACAAGUUUCCUACAACACUGGAAAAACUCCAGCAACAUCAACAGAUUCAAAUAAAAACACAAAUUUACAAGCUUGCAUAUUUAUUGCACAACUUUUAAAAUUGCCAAAAAAAAGUACAUGGGAUACUGUAAGUUAAGUGCAUCGUUGUAAUAAUUUUGCAAAGCUGGCAUAUCGUGUUUUUUUUCCAACCAUAUACAGUGGUAAUUACUGAAUACCUGACUCAACACACUACAGCACAUCCUGUAUAUGCUAUUCACUUUGCUAUGUACAAAACAGCUUUCAUAUUAACUAGUCUGAAAGGAAAGAACUGCAAGAGGAAAAAUGUGUAACAAAUCAACUCAAUGAGGAAGAGAACAAGCGAUCAAUAACACUAGAACAUGCUGGUACAAAAAGGUCCCCAGAAUCGAGGGAGAAUGGAAGACAAAAGAAUAAUAACAUGGGCUUUCAAGUUGGUUAUUAUCAUAUUAAUAUUAGAAUCUUUAACAAAAUAAAUUAACAGGGAAGCAAAGACAAAACUGCAAAUACUGACAUUACUUUGAUAUUUUAAAUCUAUAGCUACAAACAAUAAAAAGCUUUUUGGUUUUAGUUCGUCUGUUUUAUAACAAAGUAAGCUUCUCAUCAACAUUAAUUUACAAAAUCAUUAAAAAAAUACAUAAAUUAAAAAGAUUGUUCUAUUCUAACUUUAUGCUACAUUUGGAAAAAUGUAUUUAAAUUUUUUUGAAACAAGAUUAUAUGCAUCAUGUGAUUCCAGUCUCACGUUAACUAACAUUAAGUCACAUGACUCUCUAUAGGAUUAAGUCAUAUCCAGCUGGUGAAGAAGAUGAGGAAAAGUUGAAACCCUGAACCCAAACCCAAACAGGCUGGGCCUUAAAACACAUGGAGUGUGUUCAUUCCUUUUAGCAUUUAACUCUAUCAAGUUCUCUCAAGUGCCAUUUUUGAAAAGCAUGACUUUUCAAAAAAUAACCUUCAUUUUACGUUUUACUGUUUACUUAUUCUAAUCAACUUGAAGCAGAUAUCAGACAUUAACAUUGCGUUAUGCUGUGGCGACUUCUAUAUGUUUCCAUGUGACAAAUUCAUAACUCACUCGUAAGUGUGCAAAAUCUCUUAAGAGAUCUCCGUUACACACAAACAUGCUAGGGGCAGAACUGCACUCCUGGUUUCGAGAUUGUCUGUCAAUCAAAACACACCAACUAAAAAAAGCUUAACAUUUUCUAAAAGUGACCAGUGCUGGGUACUACUAGAUACAUUGUAUACCUUUGAAUGCACGUGUCAGUAUUAAAGGGUAACUAGUGUUUUUAACAAUUGCAGUUUUGUGAUUGCUCCCAUCAACAUGGUAUAUCCUCAAAUCUUCUCACAUGAAUCCUCUUUUCCUUUAGUAAAACAUUGACCAUGAUAAAAGUUUAUAUUUCCUCAAAUCUUAAAUCCAAUGAGAAAGCCGCACAGAAAACAGAGAAAAACUAAGCCAAUCCAGACCAAGUUACAACAACCAUGACAACAAAGAACCAACACCUUCUUUACUCAGAAUGUGAAAGUAAAACAAGAAAACCCAUCUCAGCUACCUUUCCAAGGAGCAGAUUAAAGUCCAAAAUAGCACCAAUCAUCAGUGUCUCAGUUCCGUGGCAGCAUCUCACUCACUUACCACAAGGGAACAAUGCAUUUCUACUAUAGCUACUUCUAUAGGCUACAUCACAGCAUACAUAACUGUCUACACAUGGUUUUAUACUAGCAACAAACAUUCUAAAACUUUAAAAAAGCAAAUCUACUUAAAACCAUAAACGUUUAAAAUACAAAAACACACUACCAAGCAUUUACUAGCUAACAUGGAAAAAGGGGGACUCUUAGCCUCAGUAAAUACUGUAGAGUGUGUAAAUAUUAAGAGUUUUGAGAAUGAGAGAAGAAUUUGAGAGCUGAAGGGUGUGAAUCACCUUAAAGAGCAGAGCAAUUAGGACUGUUAAAACGUAAAAUCGUGAACCCAACGUUUGAAUGGUUACGCUUCGAGGUGCAACCACUCCCUUCCAAGACAUUGAAGAGUGUUUUGUAGAGAUAAUGAUACAGGUCUAGGCCUAGCUUAAUACUGUGUUAAGGAGCGAUCACAUACUGCAGUUGAGCGUGUGAACAGUGCAGGUAGAACUGAGUGAGUGUUAAAACAUAAAUAGGAGGAUAAUGCUGCUGUUUGAACUGUGUUUUGUUCUGUGGCAGAGUGGAUGACAUGCUGCUGCCUGUCAGUUACUGUACUCAGCCCACAAGGGGCCACCUGUAGAAUUCGUAAACGUAGACGUGGGUCUCUGCUAGCCUGGUCUCUGCUGUUGGAGACUGUGCUAUUACAUUGCUUUGUGUCAUUAGGCUUUUCCUCUCCUUCCUGAAAACAAACAUAUCAUCAAGGCUUAGAGUCCCUAACAAGCUACUGUACAUCUAUCUAAUGUGUUAAUAAAUCACAAAAAUAGACAGAGAAGGUAUGAAACUUCAGAGUCAUCAUGAUGUCAUCUAUACCCCCCCACACUCCCCUUUCCCUUCCCCCCCCCAAAAAUGUUAGAUAUGAUUACAAAAAUCAGAAAUUAAAAUAGAUUUUUUUUCUCCCAUUUGUUCUUUAUGAUGACAGUGUUUUGUUUCUCCCAGGAAGGAGCGAAGGGAAGGACUGGUGACUUGUUUUGUUAAUGCUCCCCUUUGGUCCAACCGGGAGUGACCUGCAGUCUUUUCUGUGAAAGAAAGGAAAAAGUUCAUUCAAAAUUUUAGACAUGAUAAUAUAAUCGACACAACGACUGCUCGUGUGGAUACUCUAGGUUGAGACUUGCCAAAAGACUUUCCAAUUACAUCAUACUGAGGAAGCUUCUGUAAAUUCAGCUAUAUGUAGAGAUUUUGGGUCUUACAACAUAAUACUAGGAAACCUUUUUAACCACAAUUUAGCCUAGGCUAGAGCAGGUUUCUCAGGAUGUGUAUCAGCUGUUAGAACGAGAUAAUGACACCUUUACAGUCCAUUAAAUAAUACAGUAGCACUGCACUGUCAUUCAUUAAUGGACUUGGCUGUUCUUACCUCAGGGGAGCCAUCAUAGCCUGUUAAUUUCAGUCUGAGGGUUAAACUAGUACCUAAAACCAAGAGAGACAAGCAUGAAAUAUAACUGUUUGAUUCAUGAACAGUGAGUCAGUGAUCCCUAGUUGCAAUUCAUUACCCUAAAACUCACAACGAGACAAGCCCAUACAAAAAACAGAAAAGACAAUAAGGGAUCUGAGAAAACACAUUUACUGUUGCUUAAGCUAGCAUCAUAUUAUAAAGUAGACUAUAACUGUUAGGGCUACUCCUGGGCAAUCCAUGUUCUGAAUCCAAAUGGUCAAAACAGACUCAAGGGGAUCUUUAUGAUGAAACAGUUCGACUCAGCUCUUGCAAUAUUGAACUAGAAUGCAGGAUGUCACACAAACAUUGGAAAAUCAUUUUCUAGGUCGGAGAAAAAUGUAACGUAAAAACAACCGAACUAGCCCUUCCUAGAAUUUUCACAUAACUUGAACUCAAUACUCCUGGAGAGAAUCUGCCCUCCUAACUCCUUCCUUCUUUACCGCAACUUAGUAGUUUAACAUGACUUAGUAGUUUAACAUGACUUAGUAGUUUAACAUGACUUAGUAGUUUAAAUGUACAUGUUAUAUUUACAGUACAGUAGAGGCAGUUAUAUUUACAGUACAGUAAAGUAGAGGCAGUAGGGAAGGCCACCUGUUUAAAACAUAGACUGUCCUUUCCACUUCCCAGACUGCAGUUGGAGCGCUUCCAGGCAACACCAGUCAAACGAGGUCACAUUUUUCCCCCAGCGGCAGUCCACUGCAUUGAGGCUGUCUCGAACUCACUGAACCCACAGGCAGCCUUGAGCUAGCAUAGACAGUGCUGCUGCGUCGGAGCCAGGGACUUAUAUAACUGGUCAGAGGCCUGCUCAAUGCUGAGCAGUAGUGAUGAUACUGUACCAGCUAAAGCUGUGAUUGGGUCAUAAAUACCGGUAUAUCACUCUGAUUGGACAAGGGAAGGCAUGCUUGUAUCAUUACAGCAUCUGAUUGGUGCUGGUUUAGUGUGAUGUUCUGAUUUGGUUAUAGGUUCCUUCCACCAUUGGUUAGUUUAGGAUAUGAUACUUACCAUGGAUCAUAAUACUUGCCAUGGAUUGUUUAAAAUGCAGAUUAUAUUGCCAAUAGCAAUACUGUUCCCCUAUAGUCUUGAAUACACAGACAAUACAUAUUGAGCAAAUUAUGAUAAAACAAUAUAAUAACACGUCAAAGCAAUAGCCUAGAGCUACAUUUGACAAUAUGUUGAUUUUAAUAAUCCUAUCUAUGGUUAGGUUGAGAUAUGUUAAUUGUAACAGGCCAACAUCAAAUUUUACCUUGAUUAUCUGCAAGAGCCGCAUUUCUACUGCAUAGUCAGUCUGGCAUCAGGGCAAGUGUGGGACUGCGAAAUAAAAUAAAAAAUAUAUACAUAUACACACACAAAUGUUUUAUCAUAAGUGCACUACAGACAUAAUUGAAGAAGAAUCAAGCACUCAGUGACAGUCAGUAUAUAUUAAAUAAACGGCAUCGCAAUGCACUAUAAUGCGCCAUGCAGUAAGAGCGUAUUAUCAAAUGCAUGUGUGCAGAAGGCAGACAAAAAAAAUGACUUCAUCUUUUUGACUAAAAAAAGAUGUAGCUAGUAAAAACGGCAAGCAGCCUUGGGGGGGAGAGAACCCCAUACACGGCUGCAACUGCCACCGUCUAAAUACAGAUUCACGCAAUCCCUGAAUGAGCACCUGCCGGUACUUCACAAAUGUAUCAUUGAACAGCAAUACACCUCGCUACAUUGUGAUUGUUACAGUUAAUAUCGUAAUGUGUCAAGUAAUAUAAUAUUACAACUAUAGCUAGCUACUAAAUUAAAAUACCAAUGCUGCUGCAUAAACUUGCUGGUCUGCAAGCAAUAAUUUAGCGUUUGCGUCAAGCAAAUUGUACUUGCCGUCUUGCUAGCCUCUCAAACAAAGGGGUUUGCAUUCAGUCUUCGCCAGAAACUGCUAGCUAGGGUUGGCUCGCGCUGUAUGACAGUGCAACACCAAAAUGCCAUGCCAGCUUGGCAGCUCGCUAGUUAGUGAGCUAGCUAGCUAACCCAUAUAACUAGCUAGCUAACGUAGUUAGACCGGCAAAAAUAAAACACACAAUUAUGUUGCUACUGGCUAGCCAGCUAACUAGAUUCAAUAAGUAACAUCGAACAGCUCAUUGUAAUUAAAUGUACUUACAGAUUGAAGCCCCGUUAUACUAAAGUCAUUUCCAUUAGUUCGCUAGCCAGCUAGCGGUGGGGCGGCUAGCUGGCGCUGAUGAAGUUUCAAUUUUACUGGCACAAUGUUGCAUACGUGUAGUUAGUAAAAACGGCAAGCACCCUUGCGGGGACAGAACCCCAUACACGGCUGCGUUGACCCAACUGCCACCGUCUUUAACUAACUAGCUAGCUGUUGGCUCGGGGCCAGGCCCCCCAUUACAUCUGCAGUAGUGUACAGUCAGACUGCUCGGUGCUUACUCGGCAGUCUGCGGUAACUCAAGGUCCCCCUCUGUCUGGGAGAGACAGCUUCUCCAAUCAGAGCGAAGGCCGGUGGAGCCAACCUCUAAACAUUGAGGGGAUUCGAUGAAUCUUGCCCGGGCGCCAUUGUAAGCGUGUUUUGCACCGGCUGAAAGUUGACUCUAUUGAGUUCGAAACCAGGUUGCUUGCAGGGCGCGAACUUGGUGCCACACUCUGUCUGAUGGAGAAAUCGGCUCAUAAACAAACGUGACGUAAUUAAGCACGUGUAGUAAUGAGCAGGAUUCGGUGUUUUCACAUGCAAAAGUGCCUUCCCAAUGAAAACUAUUUAAAAAAUCCAAACAUAAAUUCAAUGGAAAAUAGCUAUUGUAUGUUUCUGGACGAUGUACCAUGUUGACAAC